rnacentral:rRNA from 1 species
GACGAACGCUGGCGGCGUGCCUAAUACAUGCAAGUCGAACGCACUCUCGUUUAGAUUGACGGAGUUUGCUCCUGAUUGAUAAACAUUUGAGUGAGUGGCGGACGGGUGAGUAACACGUGGGUAACCUGCCCUAAAGUGGGGGAUAACAUUUGGAGACAGAUGCUAAUACCGCAUAAAACCUAACACCGCAUGGUGUAGGGUUGAAAGAUGGUUUCGGCUAUCACUUUAGGAUGGACCCGCGGUGCAUUAGUUAGUUGGUGAGGUAAAGGCUCACCAAGACCGUGAUGCAUAGCCGACCUGAGAGGGUAAUCGGCCACACUGGGACUGAGACACGGCCCAGACUCCUACGGGAGGCAGCAGUAGGGAAUCUUCCACAAUGGACGAAAGUCUGAUGGAGCAACGCCGCGUGAGUGAAGAAGGUUUUCGGAUCGUAAAACUCUGUUGUUGGAGAAGAAUGUAUCUGAUAGUAACUGAUCAGGUAGUGACGGUAUCCAACCAGAAAGCCACGGCUAACUACGUG